UGGAUCCAGACUUUGAUUAUGGCUCAGGAUGAACGCUAGCUACAGGCUUAACACAUGCAAGUCGAGGGGCAGCAUGACGAUAGCUUGCUAUUGUUGAUGGCGACCGGCGCACGGGUGAGUAACGCGUAUCCAACCUGCCCUUGUCCAUCGGAUAACCCGUCGAAAGGCGGCCUAACACGAUAUGCAGUUCUCAGCAGGCAUCUAACGAGAACGAAAUGUGAUGGAGAAGGAUGGGGAUGCGUCUGAUUAGCUUGUUGGCGGGGUAACGGCCCACCAAGGCGACGAUCAGUAGGGGUUCUGAGAGGAAGGUCCCCCACAUUGGAACUGAGACACGGUCCAAACUCCUACGGGAGGCAGCAGUGAGGAAUAUUGGUCAAUGGGCGAGAGCCUGAACCAGCCAAGUAGCGUGCAGGAUGACGGCCCUAUGGGUUGUAAACUGCUUUUAUACGGGGAUAAAGUGAGCCACGUGUGGCUUAUUGCAGGUACCGUAUGAAUAAGGACCGGCUAAUUCCGUGCCAGCAGCCGCGGUAAUACGGAAGGUCCGGGCGUUAUCCGGAUUUAUUGGGUUUAAAGGGAGCGUAGGCCGUCUGUUAAGCGUGUUGUGAAAUGUCGGGGCUCAACCUGGGCAUUGCAGCGCGAACUGGCAGACUUGAGUGCGCGGGAAGUAGGCGGAAUUCGUCGUGUAGCGGUGAAAUGCUUAGAUAUGACGAAGAACUCCGAUUGCGAAGGCAGCCUGCUGUAGCGUAACUGACGCUGAAGCUCGAAAGCGUGGGUAUCGAACAGGAUUAGAUACCCUGGUAGUCCACGCGGUAAACGAUGGAUGCUCGCUGUUUGCGUCUGACGUAAGCGGCCAAGCGAAAGCGUUAAGCAUCCCACCUGGGGAGUACGCCGGCAACGGU
rnacentral:rRNA from 2 species